rnacentral:rRNA from 1 species
UACGAAGGGGGCUAGCGUUGCUCGGAAUCACUGGGCGUAAAGCGCACGUAGGCGGAUUGCUAAGUCAGGGGUGAAAUCCUGGAGCUCAACUCCAGAACUGCCUUUGAUACUGGCGAUCUCGAGUCCGGGAGAGGUGAGUGGAACUGCGAGUGUAGAGGUGAAAUUCGUAGAUAUUCGCAAGAACACCAGUGGCGAAGGCGGCUCACUGGUCCGGUACUGACGCUGAGGUGCGAAAGCGUGGGGAGCAAACAGGG